CGCGCAGGCGGGCCGGCAAGUUGGAAGUGAAAUCUAUGGGCUUAACCCAUAAACUGCUUUCAAAACUGCUGGUCUUGAGUGAUGGAGAGGCAGGCGGAAUUCCGUGUGUAGCGGUGAAAUGCGUAGAUAUACGGAGGAACACCAGUGGCGAAGGCGGCUUACUGGACGGUAACUGACGUUGAGGCUCGAAAGCGUGGGGAGCAAACA
rnacentral:rRNA from 1 species